AAAGGUAAGCUACUAAGAGCGAAUGGUGGAUGCCUUGACUGGUAAAGGCGAUGAAGGACGUACUAGACUGCGAUAAGCUACGGGGAGCUGUCAAGAAGCUUUGAUCCGUAGAUUUCCGAAUGGGGCAACCCAAUGUAUAGAGAUAUACAUUACCUAUAUAGGAGCGAACGAGGGGAAUUGAAACAUCUUAGUACCCUCAGGAAAAGAAAUCAAUAGAGAUUGCGUCAGUAGCGGCGAGCGAAAGCGCAAGAGGGCAAACCCAGUGCUUGCACUGGGGGUUGUAGGACUGCAAUGUGCAAGAGGUAAGUUUAGCAGAACAUUCUGGAAAGUAUAACCAUAGAGGGUGAUAGUCCCGUAUGCGAAAAACAAACCUUAGCUAGCAGUAUCCUGAGUAGGGCGGGACACGAGGAAUCCUGUCUGAAUCCGGGUCGACCACGAUCCAACCCUAAAUACUAAUACCAGAUCGAUAGUGCACAAGUACCGUGAGGGAAAGGUGAAAAGAACUGAGGUGAUCAGAGUGAAAUAGAACCUGAAACCAUUUGCUUACAAUCAUUCAGAGCCCUAUGUAGCAAUACAGGGUGAUGGACUGCCUUUUGCAUAAUGAGCCUGCGAGUUGUGGUGUCUGGCAAGGUUAAGCAAACGCGAAGCCGUAGCGAAAGCGAGUCUGAAUAGGGCGCUUAGUCAGAUGCUGCAGACCCGAAACGAAGUGAUCUAUCCAUGAGCAAGUUGAAGCUAGUGUAAGAACUAGUGGAGGACUGAACCCAUAGGCGUUGAAAAGCCCCGGGAUGACUUGUGGAUAGGGGUGAAAGGCCAAUCAAACUUCGUGAUAGCUGGUUCUCUCCGAAAUAUAUUUAGGUAUAGCGUUGUGUCGUAAUAUAAGGGGGUAGAGCACUGAAUGGGCUAGGGCAUACACCAAUGUACCAAACCCUAUCAAACUCCGAAUACCUUAUAUGUAAUCACAGCAGUCAGGCGGCGAGUGAUAAAAUCCGUCGUCAAGAGGGAAACAACCCAGACUACCAGCUAAGGUCCCUAAAUCUUACUUAAGUGGAAAAC
rnacentral:rRNA from 1 species